GUGUGCACCUUCAGUAAGGACGUUCAGCAGUCGGUCCACCACGCCAUGCGCAAACGUGUUGGUGUUUUUGACAAAAUCUUGAAUGCUGAAAAAGAUAUACUUGUUAGUGGUAUAGUACUUGGCGGUUUCAGUGCAGCGUAAAACCCAGCCAAACUAUAUUGUUAUGAACAUUGAAAAUACAAAAAAGAACGUUGAUUUAAAUUGAACGGAUUAGAUAGUUUAGACAAUUGUUUAGUUGAGUUACCACGGCUUCCUCUGUUUUGAGCACAGCCGCCCUUUCCUAUGAUUAGACUGAUAAGAUUUAUUGUAGUUUACGCAUUUCCCUUUGAGUAAGAGUUUAGGAAUGAGGCACGUCCUACUUUAGGACACGUCCCACCUACCUAUAAAUUAUAGUACCUAUUUAGCAAUCUUUAAGAGUUGAGCAGAGAAACCGAAGAGAGAAGAGUUGAGUUGAGAGCCAGAGAAGCAGAGUUAGAGAAGUCAGAGUGGAGUUUGAAGAGUUACAAGCUUACUUGGAGUUGUAUUUCUUUAAGCCCCGGAGACGAGAUCAGACUUAUCACCGCAUGUGUUCGAUAGUUGGACGAGUUGAUUGUAAUAAACGCUGUUAAAUCAA